ACUCCCGUUCGUCUGUCUAUUACAUUCCCAGUGAUUUAGGACUUGGAACGGAGAGCUAGUAGGUGGGGCUAGAAUCGGCACCUGCGGAAAAUCCGACCAAUGAGGAGCGAACGACACAGCGGCCAUCUUGGUAAAGGAAAAGGAACAAGGAAGAAAGUGGAACCAAUUAGCAAGCUAAGGGUCUUGCGGUGUCACCCAGGCUGUCACAGGAGUGCAGUGGUGUGAUCAUAG
rnacentral:lncRNA from 10 species